rnacentral:lncRNA from 1 species
GGGAAAGCCAAACUGAGAAUGACGGGAAGAAGGAGGGUGGAGUCAGGGGACUUGCCAGGAGCCACAGAGGGAGCAGGACAUGCUGGAGGACAGUUAGGAGGGGUGAUGUUUGCUAUCAGUUCUACAAGGCUGUCCGAUGAAGACAAAUGCACUGUCUCAGCUCCCAUCUAUAACCAGGCUCCAGAACUAGUUGAAAGGGUGCAUGGAAAUAAAUGGUGGCCAUUGCACAAAGGUAUGUGGCUUGCAAAGCUGUGAGCCCUGCCCCUUCCUUAAACUCUACUGGAGUUUCCAUGGAGAAGCAGCUGCCAGUUUUACCUGUAUGAGGCCUCAACCCUGUUUGCUGAGCCUUCCUAAUUGUUCCAGAGCUACAGCUGCUGGAUGAAGGCCCAGUCCAUAUAGAGGAAUACUCCCUGAGCCAAG